rnacentral:rRNA from 1 species
GACGAACGCUGGCGGCGUGCUUAACACAUGCAAGUCGAACGGAAAGGCCCUGCUUUUGUGGGGUUCUCGAGUGGCGAACGGGUGAGUAACACGUGAGUAACCUGCCCUUGACUUUGGGGUAACUUCAGGAAACUGGGGCGAAUACCGGAUAGGAGCUCCUGCUGCAUGGUGGGGGUUGGAAAGUUUCGGCGGUUGGGGAUGGACUCGCGGCUUAUCAGCUUGAUGGUGGGGUAGGGGCUUACCAAGGCUUUGACGGGUAGCCGGCCUGGGAGGGUGACCGGCGACCUUGGGACUGAGAUAGGGCCCAGACUGCUACGGGCGGCAGCAGUGGGGAAUAUUGCACAGUGGGCGGACGCCUGAUGCAGCAACGCCGCGUGCGGGAUGACGUCUUUCGGGUUGUAAACAGAUUUCGCAUGUGCCGAAGAGUGCGUGACGGUAAUGGGUAAAGAAGCACCGGCUAACUACGUG